rnacentral:rRNA from 1 species
CAGCCUACGGGAGGCAGCAGUGGGGAAUAUUGCACAAUGGGGGAAACCCUGAUGCAGCGACGCCGCGUGAGUGAAGAAGUAUCUCGGUACGUAAAGCUCUAUCAGCAGGGAAGAAAAUGACGGUACCUGACUAAGAAGCCCCGGCUAACUACGUGCCAGCAGCCGCGGUAAUACGUAGGGGGCAAGCGUUAUCCGGAUUUACUGGGUGUAAAGGGAGCGUAGACGGCUGUGCAAGUCUGAAGUGAAAUGCCGGGGCCCAACCCCGGAACUGCUUUGGAAACUGGACAGCUAGAGUGCAGGAGGGG